GUCUUAGUAGUAAACACGAAGAGAACGAACACCUUGGAGGAGCAUCGCAGAUAGAAAUCCAUAGAAAUAAAUGUUUAAACGGCUUUUUAAAGGACGUACGAACUUUUCAUGUGAAUAGCAAAGUAGAGGUGACAGGCAGACAGGCACUGCCCGUCACCUAGCAACCCCAGUGAAGCCCGGCAUGUUGCCCAGCAACCCCAGCGGACCUCCCCACGUUACCUAGCAACCCAAGCUGAGCUCCAGGACUUAUGCAGGGAUGACUGCGCUCUGCGUCAGCCCUUUCAUGUCCACCUCGCCCCGUGCCUUCAGUCUCAAAGGUCAGGCCACAUUAAGAUCUUUAAGGCGCAGAAAUAGCCCUCGCCGCUGCAGGCCGGUGCUUCUUUCGCCUCCUUUAGCGGAGGAUAAAGCUCAAGCAUCGGUGGACACCAGCAAUCUGAAAUCCACAGAGGCUUACGCCGAGUAUUUGAUGAGGUGCUCUGAGCUGCAAUCCCUCCCGCAGGAACGGUUUAACUGUUUUGUUUUUUUGUGGUUGUUGUUUGGUUCGUUGGAUCUGGUCGGCUGAGCCACAAAGCUGCCUAACCGGAGAAUUUUCUCCUCCUCUCUCCGAUCAUCCGUUUGAUGCUGAACGAUGGGGGGAUGGGAGGAAGAUAGUAGGAUUGAUUUGGUGGGAGGAAUAAAAAGAGGACACUAAUGAUAUUGCAUCGGAAAGUCCGGUUCGUUUGGUGAGGUGUGAAUUCUGAAGUGAACUCUGGUCCCAUUCGAGUGAGAUCCACGCUGACCGGAGAUCGCUCCAAAAGCAGGAAGUGGACUACAGCGUAGGGCAUUCUGGGUAAAAACAACCAAAACGAACGCGGAAGUCCAGCGCUACUGGGAGAAAUGGCUCACAAUCUUUUGCCAAAGACAAAAGAGAAAUCCUCCAA